GGAGGUGUAGCUCAGUGGAAGAGUACUUGUCUAGCAAGUGGGAGGCCCUGGGUUCUAUCCCCAGCAUUUGUG
rnacentral:tRNA from 1 species